ACUCGCAAGAUCGGGCAGUUAGGCUUCGCAAGCACGACGGAAGUUCUGGUAAACGUCCAAGACUUCGACAAUUAUUUAUACUGAGUGUAACGAGUCCUGAAGGUAUGAUGGUUUCAGGUAUGCUCUUAAAGCUCCUUUCACUUAGAUCUAAAGUCCUUAAGUUGCAGUUUGAACUCAAGUUCAGUUUCUCAAUAUUUAGAUUUUUGCUCAAACUAAAUUUCUUCAGUUUCGAGAACAACCCAAUUGGUGUGAGUAUUUCUUCUAUUGCAGUUCCGCGCAGGUCUAAAUCUUCUAUAGUGUCUGGAAGUUGAGCAAACUGGUUGAUUUUUGAGCAAUAGCAAAGGAAAAGCAUCUUAAGAGACAUUGGACACUUCGGA
rnacentral:lncRNA from 1 species